rnacentral:sRNA from 1 species
CUCUGAUUCCAGCAGCCGCGGUAAUACGUUCCCGGGCCUUGUACACACCGCCCGUCACACCAUGGAAGCCAGCUGUACCGGAAGUCGGUGCGCUAACCCCGCAAGGGGAGGUAGCCGCCUAUGGUAUGACUGGUGACUGGGGUGAAGUCGUAACAAGGUAGCCGUAGGGGAACCUGCGGCUGGAUCACCUCCUUUCUAAGGAUUGUUUCCCGCAGCAAUGUUGGGAACAUACCUAGGUCAAUCAGAUCUGAGACCUUUCCAACUCUCAAAUCUGAAUUCAUCACCGUCUCGAUAGCACAGACGAUCGGCCCUAUACCCGCUACUAUUUAGUUUUGAAAGACCAGGGGAAAGUAAGUGGUAAGUGGUGGGUGGUUAGCAAUCGGAGGCUUCGAUAACUAAUCGGUAGGCACUUAAGUGGCUAGUACGCAAAACUGAUGCGUUUGCGGGCGUUGUUCUUU